AUUAUUUAUCCUUGUUUACCAUUUGACAAUAUUUUGUUGUGCAUGCAGGGAAGAAGCACAUAUCUUGGUGCAGCCCCCAUUGUACAUUGCUUGGAAAUCAGCAGAUUCUGUAGUGUACCCAUAAUAGAACUUAGCAUUAACAUAUUGUUGCUGAUUUGCCUCGAUACAUAUAUAUUUUCCUGGUCAUUUCACUGUAAUGAGUAUUGAUAACUUGCAUAUUAUUUAUCACUGUAAUGAGUAUUGAUAGCUUACAUAACUUGGUGCAGCCCCCAUUGCACAUUGCUCGGAAAUUGCAACUUAAGGAGCAGCGUAUCAAUAAUGAUGGACCUGCUGGUAUCUCGGAUGUUUGCCAAUGAUAGCAUGGUGAGAUUCAUUCUGUAAGCACAUGUAUGCACAAUUGCUAGGAGCAGCGAAUGAACUCAUGAAAGCUCAUUACCUUGAUUAGGUAAAACUGUUAUGAUUAGGUAAAACUGUUAUGAUUUUGUAUUGUACAUAUCAUUCCUGAUCUUGGACAAAGUGCUAGCUCCAUAGAGCCUCUCCUUUUCGAUGUGUCAUGGUGUCCAUCUCCAGGCUAGCUCCAAACUUCUGCCCACAUAAUUCCCAUGGUGUCUAAGAAAAUCAUAGGGAAGAGGCUCUGGGAGAGGGGGUUUGGUUUUACUUUUCUGGUUUUGCAACACGAUGUGACAAAUUUGUACUGCACGAAUGGCUUCAUUCCUUCAUUUACCAUAUGCAAAUCUUGGUCUUCAAUUUGUUUGGUUUCCUAUGAGUGACUGGAGAUUAUUGUGAUGCUAUAUAAGCCUACAUCGUAGAGUGAAUCAGAUAUGUGCUAAGUAAGUGUGAUAAGCAGGCCCUGCACUUCUCUUUAAUAUUAAACGUCGGCUAAAUUUCUGAUAAUGGAAUUUCAGAGAUAAUGCAGCCAAUCCAACUGUUAACUUUGGUGUGCUUUUUGGAUGGACUAAUAUGAAGACGAUGGCUAGCUCGCAUUGCCAUCAUAUAGUCUAGAAGAAAGGGCAAGGAUUAUAGGAAAAAUAAAGGUACAAUGCUCACAAUAUAUUUUACCUUUUUGGCGAAGUUUUGGUGCUUGCGCAAGAAAAUAACACCAUCAUUAUACCUAUUGCUCAUUUUUUAUUCAGGCAAUUAGCCAUCAGUAGGAAAUGCCAACUAAUUGUACUUUCUUUGUUACAGAGGUGAAAUUACUACUACUUUUUGAAAGCUUUUUUUGUUGCAUGUUCCCCUUUCUUAAUCUUCUGUUUGUUCAAAUGUACAUACAUGUCCUUACACAAUGAAUCUCACCAUGCUAUCAUUUCCUGAAUAAGCUGAGGAUAUAUGUUUUCAAAGCCUCUGUUACGAGUGAAAUGCGGCAAUGGAAGCAAGGAGUCACGGCUUACUUCUAUUCGGAUUCCAUCUCUACUAGGACAAUCCUGAUAUCCUUCUCACCAUUUAUAUUUGAUUCCUUGGAGAUUCAUAAAGAAGGAAUGCAUCCAUGGUCUUGGUAUAAAUUUGUUUGGAUGGUUCAGAAUCUUCAGAUGGCAUGGAUGAGACAUAAUUUGUUGUAUUCGGAUAUUUUUCAUGGUUAUAGUUUUUGAGGCUCGGGCUACCACAACCAGUCUAACAUGUGCGUCGGCUUGAGCAGGGUGGAUAUAGAUCACAGGUUGAAUUUCACCGUACAAAAAGCGUUUCCAUGCUUCAGCACGCCGGAUUAAGUUGUCAAGCCCUCUAUGUGAGGAUGGGGAAACAUCAAAGAACCAUGCAGCCGAUCUGGCCAUCGAAUGCAUGGAAAACAGCGAGUAGAAGGUGCUUGUUGACUAUAACCAUUAUCAGAUAGAGCAACAGAAAAAAUGCAUGUGCAAGGGUAGCUGUUAGAAAAAUCAGAAGAAAUAAAACAACACAACAAGACCAGCAAGCAAAUACCAACUUUACAUCCGGAUCAACAUCAAAAGACAACGAUGUAAAUCAUAUUUUGAGACAAGACAUGUUGAUGAUCGUCUUAGUGACACACUGACACAGUCAAAGUAUGAUCUCCAACAGACAAACAAGUGUUAUUGGAGCCUUGAUGGUGAUAUGGAAGGAAUCUCUUCUUUAGGCAAUGACAAACCACUUUUCAAUACCGAUGGCGCAUGCAAUGAUGACUCUGCUUGAUGAUUAUUGCUUUAUAACUGCAACCAUCUAUAUGCUGCAUCUCUUGCUAUAUACUUUGCUCAUUGUAAAUAAUCUAUCGUAGACUUAAACUACUAUGUAUCAUCAAUGGGUUGUCUUAGAACGCUAUAUGUCACCACAUGUUUCCAUUUGCUUAUGCUCAUCACAGACUUCCAACACUGUGUCAGUAUUGAGUUCUCUUAGAACAAUAUGUAUAAACACCAAAUUCCUA